rfam:Myotis brandtii contig301690, whole genome shotgun sequence.
GGCGAUUCUUGGGUGACACACCCCGGAACCAGAGAGGAGGGAGCCCAAUUCCAGGGUGUGUCACCCAAGAACCGCC